ensembl:rRNA 5S_rRNA 5S ribosomal RNA
GUCUACGCCCAUACCACCCUGAACGCGCCUGAUCUCAUCUGAUCUCGGAAGCUAAGAUAUGGUCUUAGACAGAUAUGGGUUUAGCCAUGGUAGUGCUUGGUAGCUCUGCAGUUUUGGACA